rnacentral:rRNA from 1 species
GAUGAACGCUGGCGGCGUGCCUAAUACAUGCAAGUCGAGCGAACAGACGAGGAGCUUGCUCCUUUGACGUUAGCGGCGGACGGGUGAGUAACACGUGGGUAACCUACCUAUAAGACUGGGAUAACUUCGGGAAACCGGAGCUAAUACCGGAUAAUAUUUCGAACCGCAUGGUUCGAUAGUGAAAGAUGGCUUUGCUAUCACUUAUAGAUGGACCUGCGCCGUAUUAGCUAGUUGGUAAGGUAACGGCUUACCAAGGCAACGAUACGUAGCCGACCUGAGAGGGUGAUCGGCCACACUGGAACUGAGACACGGUCCAGACUCCUACGGGAGGCAGCAGUAGGGAACCGUCCGCAAUGGGCGAAAGCCUGACGGAGCAACGCCGCGUGAGUGAUGAAGGUCUUCGGAUCGUAAAACUCUGUUAUUAGGGAAGAACAAACGUGUAAGUAACUGUGCACGUCUUGACGGUACCUAAUCAGAAAGCCACGGCUAACUAC